rnacentral:lncRNA from 1 species
GGUGUGCGCCCCCGGCGCUGGAGCAGCCGCGUUUCGGGGACCCGGGCAGGCGUGGGGGGCUGCGCUGAGCUCCAGGCCUCCUGCAGGUAGGGAUGCUUUGCUGACAGAUUCGGGCGUCCUCCCCUGAACGAAUGUCCUGGCGGGGCGUGCCCAGCCACCAUCCAGCUUCAGAGGCAAUGGCCGGGCGUCGUGAGAAGGGGAGGGAGAAGGAAGCGGAAGAGAGAGAGUUGGAAAGACUAGAGGAAGAGGUGGCCACGUCUUUUGCCAUCCCAGCUUUAAACUGCAGUGUUUAAGGCCUCGUCUGCCCUGCUAAGGUCACCGAACUUUUUACUUUAUGUGAAAAGUGCUUCCCAAGGGAGGCACAGGGACUCCGGUUCUGAAACCGAUUAAUGGUCUUAGAGCCCCCAGUAAGCCGUUACCAAAGUGUCCGGGUCACAGUUGCAGAGGAAGUGAGAAGCGUGUUCGACCUCAUUUGAAACGGCUUCACAGAGGGUAAACCUCAAGUUGAUUUUGUAAAAAGGAAAGCCUGUGGUUUGGCCGAGAAGAAUAAAUAAUAUAUUCUAGAUCCACGUGUAGUGACUUGGUUUGGGAAAAAAGAAUCCACAGGGAGAGGAACAGCGCAGAGGGUUCUGUGGUCUAUCGCCCAGGCUGGCUUGCAGAGAACGGAAUUCAAUCUAGUUAGUUUAAGCAGAAAGGGAUUUGCGGCAGGAUAUUAAGUGGUUUACAGACUCUUUGGGAAGACUGAAGGAUCAGAUUCCAGACUGAUCUUUUAAGAACACGACCCAAAGCCACCCUGAAGAACUAAAGAAUCUAAUGCCCCUCCUCGAAUUCAGCAGACACCAGUGGCGUAGGGAAACGGUGGCCACAGCUGCUAGCCCCAGAACCAUGCCACCUGCCCGGGUCGGAAACCACCAUGACAGGCAAUUGAUAUAGUCAAGAAACUCCCCCAAGCCGAAAGCUACUGCUAGUGCUGCCAACUCUAAAACCGUGACACCCCUGGCAUAACCCACACCAGCAAAUAGGUUCCCUGGGCAGUGCUUUUUAAUACUCCACAAAGCCAGUAAGUAGACACUGAGACCUCUCCUCCCGCUUUCAGAGCGAAACCAGGUACCUUCACAAUGGUGCUUGUCAGCAGAAUAUUAGAAACAUGCCUUCCUAAUCUCGCACUAAUUCUCCUGAAUAGUGGAAUCUAAAUCACCGUAGAACCCUAGAUGCAAGGGAGUUGGGGAAAUAUAGUAAAAACUCCAGCGUCCCAGCUCCUACAAUACAUGAAGGCAUGCUAGGAUGAUGUCAGCAUGGUUGCUGGUGACUCAAUCCGCAGUUCCCAUCACAGUCCUCCACCUGGUUACUCAACUCCCAUGCACUCCUCUCUUCUCAUACGUACACUUCCAAAUGGCAAUGAUUCCCCCUGCAGUAAAACAUGGAACUCACUUUCUUCCCAAAAUGGGGAAGUGCCAUGAGCCACUGCAUCCUGCUGUCACGGAGGUUCUAUGUUCUAGAUUCUGUCCUGGUGUUCAUUCGAGUUCAGUCAUAAUCCUCCCUUGAUAUCUUAUAACCCGUAGACCUAAUUAUAAAGUCACAUCUUAUAUAAAACACAUCCAAUAUAAAAUGUUAAGGGAAACGGGGAGGACAAAUAUAAAUUGACUAGGAUAGAGAAAAGAAGGAAAACAAUGCUAUUACAGUCCUCAUUUUUCCAAGGCUUGUGAGUCUGAGGUUGGACUGUUGAGCAUCCUUGCUUUAUCCUGGCAUGUAUUUCCUUUCACCAUAUCCGGCGCCUCUGCUGGUUAGUGCUCUUUAUCUAGUGGAGCAAUCUAAGUCUUUUUUCCUGAGAGGUCCUAUUUCUGUGUGGUCUUUCUUGUAUUGAGAUGCUGUAGUCUUCCACCAACUCUGUGAUUGGACAUACAGCCUUGCCUAUGAUUUUCCUUGAGGGGUUCUGCAGUGGCAUAUUCUGGCAGUGGUAUGUUCAGUCUUACAUUUUUAAAAUAAGACCUAACAUUUUAAAAUAAGACACCAUCGUAUCCUGAUUGGCUAUGGAUGCUUCCAGCACUAUUAGAUCUGUUACGGAUCCAAGUGGUGGUAAAGCUGCUUGCACAUGGCCUGAAAUUUUUGUUUUUGUUUUUUAAGACAGUCUCUCUCUGUCACCCAGGCUGGAGUGGCACAGUGGUGCAACCAUACCUCACUGCAGCCUUCAACUCCUGGGGCUCAAGAAAUCCUCUUGCCUCAGCAUCCUGAGAAGCUAGGACUAUAGGUGUAUGCCACCAUGCACCCAGCUAAUUAAAAAAAAUUUUUUUUGAGACAGAGUCAUGGUUUUUUUUUGCCCAGGCUUGUCUUGAACUUCUGGGUUCAAGCGAUCCUACUGCCUUGGCCCUCACAAAGUGCUGGGAUUAUAGGCAUGAGCUACCAUGCCUGGCCUGCCCUGGGAUUUUCUCAAAGCUGGCAGACUAAUGGGUUAUUCAGAAUAUGGGUCAGAGCUGCACACACACCCACAUACACACACACACACACACACACACACACACAGUACAUAUUGGUUCCCCAAUCCAGAGUCGUAUCAAGUGCUAUAGCUCUUUAUUAGCAGUAGGGGGUGCAAGAUUCAGAGAGAUAUCCCAUCGCUCACCAGAUCACUGGGCACAGCAAUUCUGCUGAGAGAGCAGGUUCUUGAAUUCUUGUGACACAACAUUCCACUCUUUGGCACACAUGUAGGCACAUAAUGUACUUGUUUCCGCUCACUAGGUGCAAUAAGAAUCGUAUUACUAAUGUGGUGUCCUCUGGAAUGGUCACAUGAACACAGUUCCCUGCAGAUGUAAUUGGGAGAGAAGGCACAGUCCUGACACAGGGUAAGACUGUGGAGGUGUAUUGCUGUCCCUACCAGGUAAAAUAAUAUUGCUUCUGGUGGUUUUAUUGGGAAAGAGACAACACAUUUACCAAACUGAUAGCUGCAUAUUGGGUGCUGGGGGCUGUGUUGAUUUGCUACAGUCAUAAAACUAUGUCUAGAACAAAAGCUGCAAUGGAAGCCAUCUAUUGACUAAAUUAACAGUGAACCCUUAUUAUCCUCCAACAGCCAUAUGUGUUCUACAUAGGUGAAGCAGGGGAGUUAAGUGGCCGUAAUAGGAAAUGUCAUCUCUACAUCUUUUUUGUUUGUUUGUUUUGUUUUUUUUUUUAGACAGAGUCUUACUCUGUCGCCCAGGCUGGGGGGCAGUGGCGUGAUCUUGGCUCACUACAAGCUCUGCCUCCUGGGUUCAUCCCAUUCUCCUCCUCAGCCUCCCGAGUAGCUGGAACUACAAGUGCCCGCCACCAAGCCCGGCUAAUUUUUUGUAUUUUUAGUAGAGACAGGGUUUCACUGUGUUAGCCAGGAUGGUCUUGAUCUCCUGACCUCAUGAUCCACCUGCCUCGGCCUCCCAAAGUGCUGGGAUUACAGGCAUGAGCCACCACGCCCGGCCAUCUCUACAUCUUUCAAGUCUUUGGCAGUUCAUUCAGGGAUGUGAUGUUGCUUUUGAUAACUCUUGAUAGGAAGAAGUGGUUCCAGGGUUUUCCACUUGCUCCUUCUUACCUAAAUAGUCCUCACUUCCUGGGCCAGGGAUGAGUGUGGGGAUUCUGUAGCUGGGUGUUUCUGCAUACAUUCAUAGAGUUUCUGCAUAGAGAGUGCUCUGCAUUCAGAAACCCAGGAAAUGCUACAGGAUAAGUUUAUAGACCUACAAGGUACAUCAUGAGAAGCACGUGAGCCAAAACUCCACUUAUCACUUGACUCCUAUAACCCCAACUCUGAAAGCAGAGUUCAAGCAACUGUUGCGUCACCUCUUGCUACAGAGCACCAGGGUCCCACCUUCUGAUGUGAAUGAGACCUCCUGUGCUUCAAGCCCAGCCAAGUCAGAUAACUUAGUGGUCUUCAAAUUUUUUUCUGCAUACACUCCUGAAGACAAUUUAGAAAAAAUUUAGAAAAAUAAUGUACCCUUCACCCACUUUUUUUUUUUCUGAGAUGGAGUCUCACUUUGUUGCCAGGAUAGAGUGCAGUGGCAGGAUCUUGGCUUACUGCAACCUCUGCCUCCUGGGUUCGAGCAAUUCCCCUGCCUCAGCCUCCCAAGUAGCUGGGACUACAGGCAUGCGCCACCACUCCUGGCUAAUUUUUGUAUUUUUAGUAGAGACAGCGUUUCACCAUGUUGGCCAGGAUGAUCUCAAUCUCCUGACCUCACCUUCACCCACUUUUUAACUUGACAUCUCACCUUUUCCUGAUAAGUGUAAAUAGUUGAAAUGGAUCACAGAACAUUAGAAGUUUAAAAAAAGCUAACAUGACAAAACCUAAGAAAGAGAUCUUUUUAUUGAAGAUCUGCCUGAUUCAUCUCUAUUAUGUUUUUACGUAGACUGGCUUCUGGUUGUGUACAUUUCCAACCUUAUUUCUUCUCUACUGUCCACACAUUCAUGGUGCUGGUCACCACAGAAAAUGAAUAUCACAGCAUGACUUCUGGUCCUCAGGACCGUGGGCAGAGGGAGUAUUUCUAGAAAUCAUUUUUACACUAGAGGGGCUAGCAAUAACAUAAUCAUAUGUGGAAGUUACUGCACCAGUAAAUACAUCCUCUGAAACCCCAACUAACUUGUUUAUCCCAAUUCAAUUAGUGGACUUUCAAAAGCACCCAUGGCCACUGCAAUGCCACCACACAUGGGGAGAAGAAAGACAAAGGGGAGUGUAAAAAGAGGUAUUAAUCCUUAAGGUUGAAAGGUCUUACUCUUGUAAAUUUUACUAAAAUAUGUGACCCAGAAGAGCCAUUUCUAGGCCUUGGGGGUGGCCUGUGCUAGUGAAAGCCUCUGAAGAUUGGGGUUUGUUAGCUACGGGGUGAAUCUACCGCUGCACUGUCAAUAGGGACAUUAUGAUAAAAAUGUCAUGUAACUUUGUGAAAAGUAUCCAUGGAGCCUAAACACUAUAAUGACAUGCUAUCCAUCAUCAUUUACUUUGAAAUAUUUGAACAAUCUCUUUAAUUUUCGAAAAUUUUUCAAAAUUUUGAAAAUUUGUCUUUUUACUCUUGAACAUAUAAAGUUCCAUUUCACUUUCUUCUUAGGAUUCCUUCAUAAUGUAAUGUGUGUGUGUGUGUGUGUGUAUGUAUAUAUAUAUUUUUAGACAGGGUCUCACUCUGUUGCUCCAGCUGAAGUACGUAGUGCAAUCACAGCUCACUGCAGCUUUGAACUCCUGGGCUUAAGCCAUCCUCCCACCUCAGCCUCCUGACCAGCUGGGGUUACAGACAUGUGCCACCACACCCAGCUAAUUGCUUUUUCAUUUCUUUUGUAGAGAUAGAGGGUCUCACUGUGUUUCCCACGCUGGUCUCGAACUCCUGGUCUCAAACAGUCCUCCCAUCUCAGCCUCCCAAAGUGCUGUGAUUAUAGGUGUGAGCCACUGUGCCCAGCCUAAUGUAUAUUUUUAACAGCUUUAUUAAGAUAUAAUUUAUCUAUUGUACAAUUCACAUAAGUAAAGUGUGCUAUUGAAUGGCUUUUAAUAUAUUCACAGACUUUUACAUCGUGACCACAAUAUAUGUUAGAACAUUUUUAUUUCAAAAGAAGCCCUACACCCCUCAGCUAUCACCCCGGCAAUUGUUCCAUCUCCCUCAACCCCACCCAGUUCUAGGUCACCAUUAAUUCACUUUCUGUCUCUAUGGAGUUGCUCACUCCAAGCAUUUAUAUGUAAAUGGAAUCAUGCAGUAUGCUAUCCUUUGAGACUGGCUUCCUUCAGUUACAAGGUUCAUCCUAUACUUACGCUUGAAACAUUUAUUAAUCACCCUUUUCUGCAACCAAAAAUGUAUGUGAAUCGAAAUUGUAAAGUGUUCUUUAUUUCCUGCCACCAAAAGACUUUAGGAAUUUAAAGUAUUUUCUGGGUCAUGAUUACAAUGGUUGUUAUCAUGCAACUUAUGAAAACAACAUAAAUGUUAUAAACGUUGCUAAAAAAAUUGUGUUAAUUCAAAGAGUGAAAUUUUAUUGGAAAUGUCUCACUUACAUGAUGAGUUUUUAAAAUUUUCUCUGUCUUUCUCUCUCUCGGGAUCUCACUUUGCUGCCCAGCCUGGAGUGCAGUAGUGUAAUCUCGGCUCACUGCAGCCUCAAACUUCUGGGCUCGAGCGAUCCUCUCACCUCAGCCUCCUGAGUAGCUGGGACUACAGGAGUUCGAGAGCAACCUGACCAACAUGUGAAACCCCGUCUCUGCUAAAAAUACAAAAUUAGCUGGGUGUGGUGGUGCACGCCUGUAAUCCCAGCUAUUCGGGAAGCUGAGGCAGGAGAAUUGCUUGAACCUGGGAGGUGGAGGUUGCAGUGAGCCGAGAUCACGCCAUUGCACUCCAGCCUGGGCAACAAGAGUGAAAUUCCAUCUCGAAAAAAAAAAAAAAAAAAUGAGCCGGGCUUGGUGGUGCACGCCUGUAGUCCUGGCUACUUGGGAGGCUGAUGCGGGAGGAUCGCUCCCAGUCCAGGAGGUUGAGGCUACCUUGAGCUAUGCUUGCACCACUAUACUCUAGCCUGGGCCACAGAGUGAGACUUGGUCUCUAAAAAAACAAAAAUUAAUUAAUUAAAAAUAAAAUAAGAUAAAAAAUUAAAAACAAAGACCAUAAAUGCCAUGAGUUAUGUUUGUUUUUUCUAAAAUUUUAUUCCCAGCAUAGGGAAUAAAUGCAGAAGAGGUGCUUCAUAAAUAUGUACUGAAUUAACAGAUAAAACGAGGGUUCAUAAUAAGAACCUAGACUCCUUGGAGGGUCCAUGAGAAGGUUUUUCUUUGUGUCUGCGUGACAAAUUGUCAGUCCCAGGAUGGUGCCAGAAGUAAAGUUGGGUCAUUGGAGGGUGACUUUGACAACGUCUGACAUCUGCAGAGAAGAGGCAGAUGUUUCGAUCACCUAGCCGACACUGUUCAUGACGUCAAAGGCCACGGUGGCUUUACAGCUACAAUCUCAACAGCAACAAGAAUUUAAUGAGGGCCGAUUAUGUGCAAGAUACUAUAGUAAGUGCUUAAUAUUCAUUAUCUCAUGUAAUCCUUACAAUAGGCCUUGGGGUAGCUUUUAUUAUUCCUAUUUAUAAGUGAGUAAACGUUGUCUCAGGUAGGUAAGUGACCAACCCAAGGUCCUUGGAUUAGAGCCUAGUUGAAUUUUCACUUGAGCCAUUUACUCUGGCCACAGAAUAGGAACAUUGGAAGGAAAUCCAGAGGACUUGGUGAUAUGGUUUGGAUCUAUGUCCCCACCCAAAUCUCAUGCUCAAUUGUAAUCCCCAAUAUUGGAGGUGGGGCCUGGUGGGUGGUGAUUGGAUCACAGGGCUGGUUUCUCAUGGUUUAGCAUUUGGUACUGUAUAGUGAGUGAGUUCUCAUGAGGUCUGGUUGUUUAACAGUGUAUGGCAUUUCCCCCUCCUUCUUCCUCCUGCUCUGGCCAUGUGAGGUGUCUGCUUGCCCUUUGCCUUCCACCAUGUCUGUAGGCUUCCUGAGGACUCUCCAGAAGCCAAGCAGAUGCUGGCACCAUGCUUCCUGUACAGUCUGCAGAACUGUGAGCCAAUUAAAUCCCUUUUCUUUAUAAAUUGCCUAGUCUCAGGUAUUUCUUUAUAACAGUGUGAGAACAGACUAAUAUGCUUGGGCUCUGGACCCAGCUCUGCUGCUGCCUGCCCUGGCUUGGUGGACGUCGCCAGCCUCUCUCCUGCCCUGCCCACAAAGAGAAGUGUACUUCCCAGCCACUGCUCGGGGACAGUCACGCGGCCAACUCUGCCCAACAGGCAGUGAGUGGAGAUGACUUGUGCUCUGUGUGGGUGAAGCACUUUGAUCGCUGGUCGCCUCCUUUUCUCUCACCGUGAGACGGAGGAGACACGUGUUCGCCAGCCUCCCAGAUGAGAAGGCCGUGUGCUUUGAUGCUGUGGCUGUAAGAUGAAAGAGCCUCCAUCCUAGGUCCCAAACAGGGCUGUAGAGCAGAAUUUUGUGCAACUCAUGUUGGAUACCAUGUGAGCAAGAGCACACGUGUAUGUUGAGGCACUGGGAUUUUAGGAUUGUUUGUCAACAUAGGUAACCCAGGUUAUUGUGACUAAUGCAUUUGAUCCACUCUUGUUAAUCCUCUAAGUAUCGGUUUUGCCAUCUGUAACUGAUGAUAAUAAUAUCUAUCAGCCAGCUAUCUGGGGGCUGUUAAAAGAGAUAAGGGAGGAAAUGGUUCCCUCCAGGUCUAACAUUCUCCAGAACCAUCUAGCUUAGUGAAAUGGCAUGCUCUAAAAAUAGAGUUUUCUUCAUGACCAUUGUAUUAUGUGCUUAAGGUCUUAAGAUCUGACCCUCUGUAUUCGCAGAUUUGAUGACAAAGAGCCGGAACUAGAGAUGUCCAGGGCUUCCUGUGGCUUUGGGUUGGGAUUUUUCCAAGCUUCUGUCAGAGGUCAAUUCUGUUAUUUUGAGAAAGGUGUUGCAGUGAGCCUUGUUUUUGUCUCUCCCUACCCUUGUAAUGCAAAAUAUGGGAGGUAUAGACCAUUCCCAAAGCUGCCCUGUGGGUUAUUAAAUAGUGACUGCAGUCAGGGCUGGUGUGGAAGACAUUUCGCAAGCUCCCUAAUAUUUUUAUUCUCCCCUUCUUGGACAUAACGGAGGAUUACAUUUCUCCAACUUCCCAGAGCCUUGCUUUGGCUAAUGAGAUGGGAGUGGCAGGGACACAGGUCACUUUUGGGUGGAGGCAUGGAAGAGCUGCUGGGAGACUUCUAUGUUCUCUCUACCCACAGCAGUGAACUUGAAGACUGUCUGGGGAGAUGGCCAUGACCUCAGAUGGUGAAACUCUGUCAGCCGAAGUCUCUGACUGGCUGAGGUGAGCAGAGCACCCUUCUGCAGAACAGCUGUGGACAUGUGGUGUAGGCAGGAAGUCAACCAUUGUUGUUUUGAGCCAUGGAGAUUUGGCCAUUGGUUCCUAUUGCAGAAUAAAUUAGUUUGAACUGGCUAAUUCCAUUAGGACUGAGACAAAAUAGCAAUAUUAGACCUCUGGACUGGGAGGCAGCAGUCUUGGAUUUUAGGUCUCACUGGGGGAACCAUGGACUUGGUCUCCCUGGGCUUCAGCUUCCUCAUCAGUACAUAAAGGGAAAUGAACUACAUUUUCUCUCAAUCAUCUGAUGAUUCUAAUAGUUUCUCUAUUUGUCUCUCUCUCUCUCUCUUACUCUUUUCCUCUCCUUCUCUCAUCCAUCCACUCACCCUUCCACCUAUCCAUCCAUCCGUCCAUCCAUCCAUCCACCCAUCCACUCAUCCAUCCACCCAUCCACUCAUCCAUACACCCAUCCACUCAUCCAUCCAUCCACCCACCCAUCCACUCACCCAUCCAUCCACCCACCCACCCAUCCAUCCAUCCACCCAUUCAUCUACCCACCCAUCCGUUCACCCAUGUACUCAUCCAUCCAUCCAUCCACCCACCAGUCCACUCAUCCAUCCACCGACCCACCCAUCCAUCUACCUAUCCACUCAUCCAUCCACUCUUCCACCCACCCAUCAGUUUAUUCUUCUAUUUACCCAUCCUUCCAUUCACCCAUCCACACACCCAUCAAUCCCUCUAUCUCUUUAUUUAUUCAUCCAUCCUUAUUCUAAAGACCAAAGCAAGUGACUGAAUCAUGAUAUUUUCACAAAAUUCAACUAAUAUUUUACUUAAUUAACAUCGUAUGCAAAAGUUACCUUAAAAGAAGAAAGCAAACUUAUCAUGAACUUUUCCUUAGAUGACAUUAUUUCUGAGAGGAAGAAGAAUCCAACAUUUUCAUUGUGAGAAAACCUUUUGUUUCUAAGGUGGGCCUUGCUUCAUUUUGUUUGCACAUAGAAAGAAUAAGGAGCUCUUGAGUUGGGGUCAGACAGCUGGAAAAGAUAUUUAAUCAAACAUAUUCUAAUCAAAAUAGUUUUGCUUCCCUUCUUACAUCAAUUUACUGACUCAAAAAUAAACUUCCUCUUAUUGAAACUUGAUUCCUGACAGAUGGAGAAAAAGGGGUAGGAACCUGGAGAAAAGAUCACAACUGAGUGACUUGGCAACCUCGUGGUGAGAGUCUCCAUCCAAAAGGGCAAGCAGGCAAGAAAAUGAGAAUAAGAUUUACAGGAGAAAUUUAUAUCAUGAAAGCAAAGAUUGGUGCAAACCCACGUGUAUAACACUUUAAGGAAUCUGGCAA